CUGGCCUCCAGCCUCCCCCCAGUCUCGCCGCAGCACCCCACAGACACCGCUCCAUCACCGGCCGCGCAGGCGCAGACGGCCGGGCGCUCAGCCUGUGCUGGGGCGGGCGCUGCCUGCGACGGGAGUUCGCCCGGCAAUGAAGAUCUUGUAAGGAAGCAUCCUGGGCCCUGAGGUUUUCUUUGCUAUUGACCACUCCGGCUGCUCAAGGACUGAUACAGAGUGCACUGGAGCCUUCCUCAGCUACAGAGAGACGCUACAAUUCAAGACCUUUGAAAGAAUCAAUUUUCACAGUUUGAGGUCUUCUGACUUAACCACUAGAGUUUGUCAGCUACUUGUAUUGCAACUAUUAACUUGUAUAUCUCACUAACUCUGCUGGUGAUGUCAACAGAGCUUGUAUGCUCAUUGAAUAAACAAGUGCAAACUGAUCUGCACAGGAGUUGCAAUAAUGCAUCUAUUCUAUACUUAAAUAAACUUCAGUUGGCUUAA